AUUGUCACGUCAAUGUAGGCUAACGCAGUAUGGACUACUGGCACUCGUAACAGCAACUCACAAGGGCUCUCUCUCUCUCCCUCCCUUGAAACUGUUAAAAACUUCGUUACCCCAAGUUAACCCCAGAUACACGGAGGAUACACGAGUUUGCCGUUUAUUUUAGGCUAACCUUAGUGGAGAGUUUGCAGAUUUUUACCUUGUGGAUGUUGAUAUUGCACGAGUCUCUUGGAUAGCAGCACUGCGAGUUAAACUCCCUCGCAUCAACAAUCUGCCCUGAGACGGUGAACAACUGCCUUCAGGACUGCAACCAUAGGCCUACUGAAUGGAUGGCAGGGAAUACAGCACACGGGAAUUUAUAAAUGAAGAAGAGUGAAUAAAUGCACUUGCUUUUCAAACUGA